rnacentral:lncRNA from 1 species
UUUUUUUGUUUUUAUUCUUUCUGUAAUAUACAGGCCAACCAUAGGCAAAAUUUUGUCAGAAAAAUUAUCUUUGGUACUCCCUCAUUUUCACUGGUUUCCUACCCAACUUCCUUGUAUUCCCUUGAUGAUCUGUCCUUUUUAUCCCUUCCCAGAUUCCCUGAACUUACGGCCUUUCUUCUAUCCCACCACUGUUAAACCCUGCUCCAGGAAAGCAUGGAAAACUUCUUCAUUAAGGGAAAAUGACUGAUGGCAGCUACAAGAGCCACUGUAUAGAAAAUGACCUGACUCCUUUUAAGUAAUAAGUCUCUAUAUGACCUCUUUGGCAUCUGGCCCCAGUUGGUGGAAGUAGGUAUGAGAUGGGAUAGGGCAUUUUGUUUCCUUCUUAAUGCACUCUGAAUUUGAAUCUCAAUAAGCAAGUAAUUUCUCUUUGCUCAGUACAGUGGAAAAUAACCUAGGCUUUGAAAUCAGACUGACCUGGAUUUUAUCCCAGAUUUGUCAUGUAAUAGUUGAGUGCCCUUAAACAAGUUCUGUAACCCAUGUUCCUCAAUUUCAUUUGUAACAUGUGGAUGAAAAUACCUAGUAACUGGGUUAAGGAUUAAGUAAUACAGGUACGGCUCUGGGUCAGUAUGUUAGCACAGAGAGUGAACAUUUAAGUAUUUAGUAUUCUACGUACAGCCUUAUUCAUGUCACUCUUCUGCUCAGAAAAAUUCCAUGAUUUCCUACUGUCCUAGAGAAUCAAGUCCUAGAUUCCUAUCUUGUCAUUUAUAACUCUAUAAGAUUGGGCCGUAAAUUAAAAUACGCUAAGAAUGUUUUGGACAUUCUCCCUCCCUCAAUUCUUUAAGUUAUAGAGUUAGACUCAAUUAAAGGAAGGAGAAGGCCUUUCCUGGAUAGCAGUAAGCUGUGUAUAAAUAUAGGUAAAGCCAGUCCUAUUUUGUAGAGCAAUGUCCUCUUCACAUUGGGCUCUGCAGGGAGAUUGCAGAGGCAUGCAGAGGAGUACUGGUAAUCCAUGAAUGGGUAACAGGUUCUUUUCACAAUUAAGAAACUGAUGCCCAAAGCAAAUAAAUCACAUAGCCCAAACAUAAAGACCUUGAACCAGGACCCUAUAAUCCUUUCAGUUUGGUGUUUUCUUUAAAAGCCAGCUUUCAUUUACUGUACCAUGCUGCCUCCUAUUUUCUACAGUAAGAUAGAUGUGGAGCUAAAUAACAAAACUUAUUUUCAGACAUUAACAAAUUAGUUGUAAUUAAUUUCUCAGAGCUGCUUGCAAUCCCAUGUGAUAUUCUAAGGAAAGAGGUCACUUAAACAGAUAAGUGUAGGUGAGAGACAUGAGAUACUGCAGGGAGGGCAACACCAGAUGGUUCAUAGCAAUGGGAGGCAGCAUGAGGGCACUGGGCAUCUGGAGAGCAGAGAGCCAGAAGAGGAAUGAAGGCAUGCUCCAAGUGAGAUUUUUUUUUUUCUUGCCUUUCAGGUGUACUUCAUUUGCCUUUGGGGCAGUGGCAGGAAUGGGGAAUAUAAUGGUUAAGAUUCAGGGUUGCCUUGAAAUCCGCGGAAAUGAGGUCACCUAAUCUUGACCUUCAUUCCUUGACUGAUGCUGAAUUCAGCAAACAAAUUACUUUUUUGCAGUUAAGAUCUCCACAGAUGAGUCCUUUUAUAAGCUAUGGUUGGUAUGCUAAUGAAUCAUGCUUGUCUAUAAAUUUAUCAUUGAAGGGCUUAUGAAGUGAAGUCUAUCAAAAGUGGUUUAUAUCUUCAUCCUGCCUCUAAAAUUGUCAUUGGUGAAUGUGUACUGAUGCUCAGAGUCCCCAUUAUGUCACCUUAUUAGAGCUUAUCCUGGGCCCCAAAUAUUAGCUUUGGUUGCCCUGUACCAUAGCACCUUAGGAACCUUGCCAUUCCUAAAUUUUAUGGAACUUAAUCAGGUAAAAAUUUUAAAAUAGCUUUCCAGGGAACACAAUACUCACGUUAGACGGCCAAGAGAACAUUUCCUGAUCUCCAUGUAC